rnacentral:rRNA from 1 species
CAUAGGUUAAUGAGGCGAACCGGGGGAACUGAAACAUCUAAGUACCCCGAGGAAAAGAAAUCAACCGAGAUUCCCCCAGUAGCGGCGAGCGAACGGGGAGCAGCCCAGAGCCUGAAUCAGUGUGUGUGUUAGUGGAAGCGUCUGGAAAGGCGCGCGAUACAGGGUGACAGCCCCGUACACAAAAAUGCACAUGCUGUGAGCUCGAUGAGUAGGGCGGGACACGUGGUAUCCUGUCUGAAUAUGGGGGGACCAUCCUCCAAGGCUAAAUACUCCUGACUGACCGAUAGUGAACCAGUACCGUGAGGGAAAGGCGAAAAGAACCCCGGCGAGGGGAGUGAAAAAGAACCUGAAACCGUGUACGUACAAGCAGUGGGAGCACGCUUAGGCGUGUGACUGCGUACCUUUUGUAUAAUGGGUCAGCGACUUAUAUUCUGUAGCAAGGUUAACCGAAUAGGGGAGCCGAAGGGAAACCGAGUCUUAACUGGGCGUUAAGUUGCAGGGUAUAGACCCGAAACCCGGUGAUCUAGCCAUGGGCAGGUUGAAGGUUGGGUAACACUAACUGGAGGACCGAACCGACUAAUGUUGAAAAAUUAGCGGAUGACUUGUGGCUGGGGGUGAAAGGCCAAUCAAACCGGGAGAUAGCUGGUUCUCCCCGAAAGCUAUUUAGGUAGCGCCUCGUGAAUUCAUCUCCGGGGGUAGAGCACUGUUUCGGCAAGGGG